rnacentral:rRNA from 1 species
UACAGAGGGGGCAAGCGUUGUUCGGAAUUACUGGGCGUAAAGGGCGCGUAGGCGGCCUGCUAAGUCGAACGUGAAAUCCCCGGGCUCAACCCGGGAACUGCGUCCGAUACUGGUUGGCUUGAAUCCGGGAGAGGGAUGCGGAAUUCCAGGUGUAGCGGUGAAAUGCGUAGAUAUCGGGAGGAACACCUGUGGCGAAGGCGGCCCCCUGGUUGGAUACUGACGCUGAUACGCGAAAGCGUGGGGAGCAAACAGG